rnacentral:rRNA from 1 species
AGCAGCCGCGGUAAUUCCAGCUCCAAUAGCGUAUAUUAAAGUUGUUGCAGUUAAAAAGCUCGUAGUUGAAUUUCGGGGUUAGUAGGUUGGUCAUGCCUCUGGUAUGCACUGGCCUCACUGAUUCCUCCUUCCUGAUGAGCCGUAAUGCCAUUAAUUUGGUGUUGCGGGGAAUUUGGACUGUUACUUUGAAAAAAUUAGAGUGUUUAAAGCAAGCUAACGCUUGAAUACAUUAGCAUGGAAUAAUGAAAUAGGACGUUUGAUUCUAUUUUGUUGGUUUCUAGGAUCGACGUAAUGAUUAAUAGGGAUAGUUGGGGGCAUUAGUAUUCAAUUGUCAGAGGUGAAAUUCUUGGAUUUAUUGAAGACUAACUACUGCGAAAGCAUUUGCCAAGGAUGUUUUCAUUAAUCAAGAACGAAAGUUAGGGGAUCGAAGACGAUCAGAUACCGUCGUAGUCUUAACCAUAAACUAUGCCGACUAGGGAUCGGAUGAUGUUAAUUUUUAAUGACUCAUUCGGCGCCUUAA